CAAACGUGGACAGUGAGGAAAGACUGGAGAAAUGGGGGCUAUUCAUUCAUGAAAAGAGGCUCUGACAGGUGAUCUUAAAGAGCCUUUCAUCAUAGUUGAACUGUACCAUCCCAGGAUCUAAUCUAGUGAACAUUUCGUACCACAAUCAGGGCAAGCAUCUCCCGAGUGACCAAAACUGUGCACAGUUUUGUGGCAUAGACGAAGGCCUGUACAAUUGAGACAGUGGACAAGAUUUGAAGUGUCAUGUGACAGAACUUCGUAGUCUUCUGCAGGUGGGUGGUCUGUUAAAUUCUGUGGGCGCCUUCCUUGCUGUGUACAUUUCACUCCCCAACCUGAGCAUGUAAGGACCACACCCCACCCAGCCACCAAUGUUUGGCCAGAAUAAGUGGGCAAUGGGUCAGAUGCCUGGCACAUAUGCUGGCUUGGGCUUCAGUGUGAAAGACUGGAGAGGGGUAUGUCUCAUUUAUGGGCACCCUUUCCUGAUUGGAUAUCUCUCAUAAGGACUGUUUGCCACA